AUUUCGGAUGGGUUCUCAAAAAAUGAUCGUGGUAGGCCAGCCUCUGCCGAACCACAGAAAAAGGGUCGUCCUAGGUAUGAUUUUUCGCAAUCCAAUAAUUAAGGUCGGCGGCUGGGACAUCGUGUUUAGGGACGAUAUAUGCCCAAGUCCGGGUCUCUGUUGCUCGGUCACCAUCGCUCUCCUCCGCCACGCCUCCUCCUUCUGGCCUCUUGCUCCGACUCCAGACUGAGAGACAGUUCAUCGGAGGAUACAUACACAGCCGAGAGCUCCUCUGCCACCUCUACAUUGGAGGACGCCUGUGCGAGAUCCGUGUCCGAGGUAAAGAGGGAAAAGACACAACCGUGAGCUCUAUCAGCUCUGAGGUAUUGCCCACUGAGUCUUUUGAUCGCGCCUUCCUCAUGCACGAUGCAGUUUCGAUGAAUUACUAUCACUUUGUCUCGUCAUUUCGAUAUGGGGAAAUGCUCUUGAAGCUUUCAUGGAAGCUGGAGUUUCCUCCAGACUGCAUCUUCUAAUCUCCCAUGUUUUCGUGUUCGGAUAAUUGGUAGCUAGUUUUAAAAUAGCGAACUCGCAGCUCUUCUCACUCCUUCCUGCUGAUUCUCUCCGGCCCACCAUACGGAGCAGACUGCAGCUCCAAUGCGGUGACGGCCAUUGAGUUAUGUUGCACUUCUCCUUUCUAGCUAUGAGGCUGAGAUGAUGAAGGAAAGAUUUGCUAAGUUGCUUCUGGGAGAAGACAUGUCUGGAGGCGGUAAAGGAGUUUGUUUCGAACUUCUGCUUUGAGUCGGUAUUCGAUGUUUAAUUAAGUUCUGGAAGUCCACACGAAAGUGUAAGAGGAUAUGGGCAGGGGAUGACGCAAUCGAUGUUGCGAGGAGCUUCGUCAAGUCAUUCAACUCAAAAUGGCCCAGCUCUUGAAAGGGUGCUACAAGAGCCAUUGUUGUUGUAUAAACUUUAUUAUUGUUGUUAGUAUUAUUGCUUUAAUAAUAAACUUAAGGCGUGGCCUAUAUCGGGUCUUGUAACCGUACCAUUAAUAAAUUUUUAUGUAAUGAAAAAUGGACUUAAUUAUCUGGAUUACAAAUUUGAUUCA